GACGAACGCUGGCGGCGUGCUUAACGCAUGCAAGUCGAACGAAGAGCGAUGGAAGCUUGCUUCUAUCACUCUUAGUGGCGAACGGGUGAGUAACGCGUAAUCAACCUGCCCUUCAGAGGGGGACAACAGUUGGAAACGACUGCUAAUACCGCAUACGAUCUGACCUCGGCAUCGAGGAUAGAUGAAAGGUGGCCUCUACAUGUAAGCUAUCACUGAAGGAGGGGAUUGCGUCUGAUUAGCUAGUUGGAGGGGGAACGGCCCACCAAGGCGAUGAUCAGUAGCCGGUCUGAGAGGAUGAACGGCCACAUUGGGACUGAGACACGGCCCAGACUCCUACGGGAGGCAGCAGUGGGGAAUCUUCCGCAAUGGACGCAAGUCUGACGGAGCAACGCCGCGUGAGUGAUGACGGCCUUCGGGUUGUAAAGCUCUGUUAAUCGGGACGAAAGGCCUUUUUGCGAAUAGUGAGAAGGAUUGACGGUACCGGAAUAGAAAGCCACGGCUAACUACGUG
rnacentral:rRNA from 1 species